CUGCGUCCGCAUUCUAGCACCCCAACGCCUACCUCAGCCCCCAACUCUAAAUAACUUCUUUCCACCUUGCUAAGAAUGCAACGUUGUGAUUCACAUCAAGCUUUAGGAGGCUCCCCAUAUGUAGGGAACUGGGGUGAGGGGCAGGGCAGGAUUCACUGUUCCAGGUUACGGAGCUUUGGUUAACACGGAGAGAAGCUACACAUAGACUCACACAGUAUGCAAAUACCUAUGGAGAUACAUAAGGAAAGGCCCCGGCCUGGUUAAGGAAAAGGAGCCGAUAAAACCUCUCCAGGUAAGGAACAGCCUAGAAAGGGAAUCUCAGUUAUUCCUUCUGAUAUGGCUUAGCUUUCCCCAGGGCGCCUACUUUGAAGAAAGAGCCCUGAUUAUUGGCCCGGGGAACGUCUGGGGGCAGGGUGCCCAUUUCCUAGGCGGGACCCGACCGGAAGCAAACUUGUAGGCAACAACAUUUCCUCUAGUUCCUCUCCUCUUCCCCACCAGGGUCCUCAGCCACACACCCCGAGCCCUGCCUGCGGGCCCAGCCCCCCCAUUUCCGGAGCCUGCGCCCCGGACCCAGCGGGGGCUGAUCCCUGGGAAAGGCCUGGCUUCCUCUUCCUUCCUGUCCCUGCCCCACCUCCGCCGGGCUCCACAGCCGCCGGGAGCCCAGGGCCGAGACGGGAGGAGGGCACCCACCUGGUCGGUGUCACAUGCUGCUUCGGCCCCAGCGUCCCCUCCAGGUCCCGGCGCCGGCCGCAGUCCCCAGAGCCGUCCCCAGCGCAGGCCCGGCCGCCCCACCCGCGGCCCGCCCCUGGCCGCCCGACGGGAGGGAGGGAUCGGGUUCUCCUAGGAAGUUUCAGGUCAUUCAACAUUUAUUCAACCAAAAAUACUAAGUCAGCUCUAUACAAACUAAUGGAAGGAUACAGCUAUGCAAAUAUAGAACACUAAAGUGUUACAUGACAGAUGUAUGAGCAGAACUGGGAAGAAAGGACCCUGAAAAGUUAGCUGGUUCCAAGUGACCCUCCAAGGGGAAGAGUGCUGGAUUCAGAGCCCACCUCAGGGGAAGACAGGACCCUCUCCAAGAUGGUUUCCCUAGAAGCUACUACCUCUCCCUGGAGGGUGGAGAUAUUUGCUGGUCAAAGCAAGAAGGCCCUCUGCAGAUGCUGACACCUUGAUAUUGGACUUCCCAGAUUCCAGAACUCUGAGAAAUAAAUUUCUAUUUUAAAUAAAUUACCCAGUCUGUGAUAUUCUGUUAUAGCAACACAAAAUGGACUUAGACGGUAUGCUAAUGAGAUGACUGCUGGCAGGGAGCUCUGAAAUAACUUUAGGAUAGGGGCUGGUUACUACAAAAACAAAGGCAUGUUUAGUGGGUUGGGACUUUCAGCCUAUACCUCAACCUCUGGGGAGGGGAGAGGGCCUGAAGUUUGAGUUGAUCACUAAUGGCCAAUGAUGUAAUCAAUCAUGCCUGUGUAAUGAAGGCUUUACAGAAAACCAAACAGGGUUUGCAGACUUUCUUGAUUGCUGAACACAUGGAGGUUCCUGGAGGGUGGUGUGCCCAGAGAGGUCAUGGAAGCUCCAUGCCCCUUCUCCAAU
rnacentral:lncRNA from 1 species